rnacentral:RNase_P_RNA from 2 species
ACAGCUCCAAGGCCGCGAGGCUCACACCGUACAGGACGUCUUGCACGUCUCUUUCGUGAGCGGGCUAAGGUCUGAGUCCAUCUCUAUCGGCUCUAGCAGAGCCUAGUCUCAACAGGCUGCUCGACAUACCAGAAAUACGCCCUCUAUCCAUAUCCGAAGAACUUGUCCAUGUGUGCCCGUCAGCUAACAUGUAUAGGGAGGCGGGAUAGAGCGGCUUGGUACGUGUCGAUUGGAAUGGGUGUAUCGUCUUCCUCUAUGCCAUUGUUGUCCGUUCACCUUUGCCAUCGCGCCGAGUCAUCUUGUUUGGCACAGAGUUCACACGCAAAGCCGCUGCUGCAGCUUGGGUAGCUCUGUUGUGUUCCUCGACGCCUCUGUAAAGUGCCGUAGAUGCUUGCAGAGUUGUUGAGGAAAGGCGUAUGAAGCAUUGGUAGGAGACAUUGGCUGGUUGGUCGGCCAACUAUCCUUCAGUUCACUUCGCGGCUCAUGACCUUGCUCUCACCUUGAGGUGGGGACAUCAUGAAACUCGAUUCAGACUACUCUCGGGCUGU